rnacentral:lncRNA from 1 species
UUGACUGUUUUGUGAAAUCAAAAUUACUUCUGUGAUUGAAGAAUUAAAAUGGUGUCUAUAGGAUUGAGUAUGCGAAGUCAAUGAAAAUUUUUGGAUUAAACUAAUAAGACAGUUAGUGGAUACAAGGUCGUGAGUAUAAAGCUGUAUCGAAGAUUAGUGGAUUGGGCUAUUCGGGGUUCUCUGAAACAUCUAGAGACCUACCGACUGGGGCAAAAAGGAUUUUGGCGAGCAGUUGAA